rnacentral:rRNA from 1 species
UACGUAGGGGGCAAGCGUUGUCCGGAUUUAUUGGGCGUAAAGAGCGUGUAGGCGGCUUGGCAAGUCCGCUGUGAAAACUUGAGGCUUAACCUCGAGACGUCGGUGGAAACUGCCUGGCUAGAGUCCGGAAGAGGAGAGUGGAAUUCCUGGUGUAGCGGUGAAAUGCGCAGAUAUCAGGAGGAACACCGGUGGCGAAGGCGGUUCUCUGGGCAUUACCGUGACGCUGAGGAGCGAAAGUGUGGGGAGCGAACAGG